GGUCCACACCAGUGUCCUACCUGACCACAAGGAACCAAGAGCAGAUGUUGGGCGAAGCUUCCUGGGCUGUGCAACUUUUAGAGUGGGUGAUCUGGUAAAGUCAAAGGAGCAGCAGUUGACCCUCACCCUCAGGACAUCUGAUGGUGGAAAGACAGUUGGUACCAUUGAAGUCAAUCUUAUGAAGAUGGGAGAGCUGGAUGAGGGGGA